rnacentral:misc_RNA from 1 species
GAACGCAUAUUGCGCUCUUUGUUAUUCCGAAGAGCAUGCUUGUUUGAGUAUCAGUAAACACCUCAAAGCUUUUGAUUUUUUUUUAAAAGUUUUGGACUUGAGCAAUCCCAACACCAAUCUUUUUCAGAUCGGCGGCGGGUUGCUUGAAAUGCAGGUGCAGCUGGACAUUCUCCUGAGCUAAAAGCAUAUUUAUUUAGUCCCGUCAAACGGAUUAUUACUUUUGCUGCAGCUAAUAUAAAGGGAGUUUGACCGUAUUGGCUGACUGAUGCAGGAUUUCACAAGGGUCGGCAACGAUUCUUGUAAAACUCGAUCUCAAAUCAAGUAAGACUACCCGCUGAACUUAAG